rnacentral:rRNA from 1 species
AUGCCCGAUCGCAUCACCUGGAGGUGGACGGCGAACGGCACCUACUCGGCCAAGUCUUGCUAUCAUGCUCUCUUUCAUGGAUCUACCACGCCGCCAAGCUGGAAGAUUCUUUGGAAAAGUUGGGCCCCUCUCAGCAACAAAGUUUUCCUCUGGCUUGCGUCCCUUGACCGGUGCUAGACGGCGGAACGCCGCACCCGUCAUGGCCUCACCCAAGACCCCACCUGCACCCUUUGUUACCAGGAGACGGAGUCCAUAGACCACCUACUUUUUGGCUGCGUAUUCUCCCGGAUCACCUGGCAUGAGAUUCUCUCAUGGUGCCAGCUCACCACCCCUCCUAUGGACAGUGCGACGACCUUCUUCGCCUGGUGGUCUCUGGCAGUUGAAACCUCCCCGGGCUGCCCGCGCAAAGGCCUCAACUUCGUCGUGGAAUUGACUGCCUAGGGCAUUUGGAAGCAUCAUAACGUGGCCAUCUUCGUCGGCCUCCAACCUUCCACCGGAGAUCUGGUCCUAACCAUCAAGCAAGACACUCGCCUAUGGGCCAAGGCGGGUGCCAAAGGAUUAUCUAAUAUCAUACAUGUAACCUGA